GGCAGGCCAGUAUGUGAACCCAAAGGGAGUAUUCUCGGAAAAAAGAGGCAGGCGACCAGUCUCCUGAAAACGAUUAGACUACAACCGGUGCAACUUCAUUAUCGUUCUCAUGAUUAGCACUCGAGGAAGAACUGCAAGAAUCACUGGGUGGACUAUUUCCUCAGACCGUAGAGGAUUAUUAUGCUUCUUUAAGGUGCCACCUCACUCUACUGGAUGGUGGAGGAUCAGGCUGACUGCAACCGUACUGAAUGGAUGGCAGGGAAGCACAGCACACAGGAAUUUCUAAAUGAAGAAGAGUGAAUAAAUGCAC